CCUACGGGAGGCAGCAGUAGGGAAUCUUGGACAAUGGGCGAAAGCCUGAUCCAGCCAUGCCGCGUGAGUGAUGAAGGCCUUAGGGUUGUAAAGCUCUUUCGCCAGGGAAGAUAAUGACGGUACCUGGAUAAGAAGCCCCGGCUAACUUCGUGCCAGCAGCCGCGGUAAU
rnacentral:rRNA from 1 species